CUUCCUCCACCAGGUCCUGCCCUGCACAUCCAGCCAGCGGCCCCCCCGCAAAGAAACUCCCAUCAAGACCCGCAGCACCCCGGAGAGCACGCUGGUCCUGGAGCUGGAGGGGACCCUGGUCUGCAGCUCCCUGAUGCCCAGCCACGAUGCCGAUUGCACCUUCCUCACGUCCUUCCAGGGGGACGUGUAUCGGGCUUACCUGAAGCUGCGCCCCCACGUGCAGGAGUUCCUGGAGACCCUUUCCAAGACCUAUGAGGUACCCGCUGGGCCCCGCCCUCCCUGGCUGCCGGAGAGAAUGGGGGUCGAAAGAGAAGCUUGUGCAGGAGGAA